rnacentral:rRNA from 1 species
GACGAACGCUGGCGGCGUGCCUAAUACAUGCAAGUUGAGCGCUGAAGGUUGGUACUUGUACCAACUGGAUGAGCAGCGAACGGGUGAGUAACGCGUGGGGAAUCUGCCUUUGAGCGGGGGACAACAUUUGGAAACGAAUGCUAAUACCGCAUAAAAACUUUAAACACAAGUUUUAAGUUUGAAAGAUGCAAUUGCAUCACUCAAAGAUGAUCCCGCGUUGUAUUAGCUAGUUGGUGAGGUAAAGGCUCACCAAGGCGAUGAUACAUAGCCGACCUGAGAGGGGGAUCGGCCACAUUGGGACUGAGACACGGCCAAAACUCCUACGGGAGGCAGCAGUAGGGAAUCUUCGGCAAUGGACGAAAGUCUGACCGAGCAACGCCGCGUGAGUGAAGAAGGUUGUCGGAUCGUAAAACUCUGUUGGUAGAGAAGAACGGUGGUGAGAGUGGAAAGCUCAUCAAGUGACGGUAACUACCCAGAAAGGGACGGCUAACUACGUG